UAGCUCAGCUGGUUAGAGCGCUGGUCCGAUGUACCAGAAGUCACGGGUUCAAGCCCCGU
rnacentral:tRNA from 1 species